UCCAGAGUAGCUGGGACUGCAGGCCGCCCGCCACCACGCCCAGCUAAUUUUUUGUAUUUUUAGUAGAGACGGGGUUUCACCGUGGUCUGGAUCUCCUGACCUUUUGAUCCGCCCUCCUCGGCCUCCAAAAGUGCUGGGAUUACAGACGUGAACCACCUCAAUCGGCCCUAAAUAAUUCUUUUCUAAGAAGGCAACAACCAAUAGGAUUCCUUUUUUAAUGUUUUCCCAUUUCUUGUUAGAAAAAAAAAGUUAUUUCAGCAAUGAAGUCUAAAAGCCAACAACUAGGUUUUCAGGCUGUGAAAGGAAGCAGAACUUGUACCAGAUGGAAUCAACUAGUUACAGGAAAACAAGCUCAGGGCUCCCACUGAUUCUACAUGAUGGUGAGUUGUAAAAUUAUUUCAUUAUAUAUUACAAUGUAAUAAUAAUAGAAAUAAUGUGCACAAUAAACAUAAUGCACUUGAAUCAUCUUGCAACCAUCCCUCCACCCCCUGGUCUGUGGAAGAAUUGUCUUCCACCAAACCAGUCCCUGUUACCAAAAAGGUUGGGGACCACUGCUUUAGAGUCGAAAGUCCCAUUACUUUGGUACAUGUCACAAUGUUAUAACUAGGAUUUUGUUAAUUUUGUUUUUUCUCUCACCAUGAGUGGCUAUCUUAUGUUAAUAUGCCUUUUAAUUGAACUUAAUAAGGUAAUUGCUUUCAAAAGUCAGAUUUCAAACACAGUAACCUAAGUCCUAACAAAACUUAUAUUAAUAAAAUAUUGUGUGAUGAUGAUUAUUAUUAUUUUUGAGGUGGAGUCUCAUUCUGUCACACAGGCUGGAGUGCAGUGGUGUGAUUUCGGCUCAAUGCAACCUCUGCCUUCCAGGCUGAAGCGAUUCUAUUGUCUCAGGCCCCUGAGUGGCUGGAAUUACAGGCCUG
rnacentral:lncRNA from 10 species